GGCGGACACGCACAUGGUCAAGUAUGCAAGUUUUCCGCCGUUUCUUGGCUUUUAUGGCAUGAUGACUUAAAAGUUUGCGAUUUGUGUGAAAUUAUAAUUUAAACCCAGUGAGAAUUUUAAAGUUGCCAUAUGUCCUUAAGAUCUUUCGCAAACAAUUUGGAAAUUAGAAUAUGUUGAUUUGUCAAUGGUUACUUCUUCAAGUGUGAAAGUCAGAUGAGCCGGAGUUGCUCAGCAUAAUCAAGCGUGGAUUCUAAUCCUUCCCUCAUUAUCAUGCCGCAGCUGGCGGGCCAUAGAAUAAUGGCUGUAGUGUUUACAUUCCAUGUGCUCACGGGCAUAUGCAAUUUAUUGUCAACAGAAUUUAUUAUAAUCAAAUCAAGUAGGAACAAACUUUUGAGGCUAGCAUAUGACAAGGGAAGAUUUCAACCCUGAACCUGAACUUACUUUCACCAAUUUCUGAAUUUUCAACUCUCAGAUGACGCAACUGAUUCAAAGAACUUUGCAUCAUAUUAAUGAUGCGAUGUCAGAUCCCUGGUCAGUACCCACUCUGCAAUUUGAUGCUGUGUUUAGUCGUAAAAUUCCAGCAAUGGAACCAAGUGCGGAAGAAGUACGGAGGAGAUUCGGCGAGAUAACAGACCAUGUUAAACGAAUGAUGUCAAGUUUGCCAGUGAUGGAAACAUGGUUUUCACUUCCUAGUGCUGCAUCGUACAUAGAACUUGGAAGCGAAACUGCUUUUGACGGUUCGACACAAGAAACUCUCAAUUGUCAUCUAGAUAAAUAUCUGACUAUCCUGACAUCUCAUAUAAAUGAAGUUGGUUGAAUCAAGAGAAAAUGAUCGACUCAUUGUUGGAGACAGCUGACGCAUACAUCAAAAGAGUGCUAAACGAAAUAAUCUAUAAGCAGCUGGGAGAUAAUUUUGAGUAAGAUAAAUCACAACCACUUUAUUUCUCCUUAACUCGUUCUUUGCCAAGCCAAUAUAGUGACCAUACUUUUGUCAGCUGUGCUGGACCAAAAUAAUCACAGUGACCCAGAGAGUAUCUGCAGUGACUGGUGUUUGUAGAACGGGGGUAAGAAAAGAACUGACAAACGUCACAUUGUAAUAUGGCACCAUUCAACAUAAAUUUAUAUGGUAAUCAAUCGACCAACUGAUAAAUGAUGCAUUCAGGUUGAUGUGACAUUUGUCCAUUCUCUUCUUUCCCCAGUACUAAUGGUGAGUUUACAUUCCACUGCUGUAAGAUAGAGGCUCUGUCUAUGCGCCU
rnacentral:lncRNA from 1 species